rnacentral:tRNA from 1 species
UAGCUCAGCUGGUAGAGCACGUCACUUUUAAUGAUGUGGCCGAUGGUUCGAAUCCAUC